GCCUGCCUCCGCCUGCCGCUCGGGCCGCCCGCUCGCCCGCCGCUGGGUGCGCUGCACGCGGGGGGCAGCCGCGGUGCAGAGGUUCAUGCAGCGGCGGCGGUGGCGGCGGCUGCUGCUGCUGCCGCCGCGGAAACAGACCGGGUGCUGCCGCCGUCACCCUCUCGCAGCUCCAUGCCGCCACCGCCACCGCCGCCUCCUCUCCGGCGAAGGGCGGGGGUCUCCGGCCCGGGGUGGGCAGCACUCCUCGCAGCGCCGCUCCCCUCCCUGCCCUCCUCCGGGGCGCGGGAGCCGGCGAGAGCGCCCGCCGCCUCCUAGGAGCGCACGCUCCGCGCGCCCUUGCUAGAGCGAGGAGGCGGGCGUGGGCGGGCGUCGGGGCAGCCGCGACCCAGCGCGCGGAAAGGGGAGGGGGCUUCCCCGGAGGAUGCCCCGCGGCGGCGGCUCCUCGCUCUUAGGCGCUAGCUGAGCUGGACCGGGAGCGAGCGGCGCGUCGCCAUGCCGGCGUGACGGGCUCCCGCGGCUGCCCGCGCCGGGCCCCCGCGCUGCCCCACGCCGCGCCGCGCCGGCGCCGGGCGGCAGGAUGGGCUGUAUCCAAAGCAUCACCUGCAAGGCGCGGAUCCGGCGCGAGAACAUCGUGGUGUACGAUGUGUGCGCCACCAUCGACCAGUGCCCCACGCGCAUCGAGGAGACCUCGCCCAUCGUCCUGCGCUACAAGACCCCUUACUUCAAAGCCUCGGCCCGCGUGGUCAUGCCCCCCAUCCCCCGCCACGAGACCUGGGUGGUGGGCUGGAUCCAGGCGUGCAACCAGAUGGAGUUCUUCAACACCUACAGCGACCUGGGCAUGUCAAGCUGGGAACUGCCUGACUUGAGGGAAGGGAGAGUAAAAGCCAUCAGUGAUUCAGACGGGGUGAGCUACCCCUGGUACGGGAACACCACAGAGACUGUGACCCUGGUUGGCCCCACCAACAAGAUCUCCAGGUUCUCCGUCAGCAUGAAUGAUAACUUUUACCCCAGCGUGACAUGGGCAGUGCCAGUGAGUGACAGCAACGUGCCACUUCUCACCAGGAUCAAGAGGGACCAAAGUUUUACCACCUGGCUGGUAGCCAUGAACACCACCACCAAGGAGAAGAUCAUUCUGCAGACCAUCAAGUGGAGGAUGAGAGUGGACAUUGAAGUGGAUCCUCUUCAGCUGUUGGGGCAACGGGCCCGGCUAGUGGGCAGGACUCAGCAGGAGCAGCCCCGGGUUCUGAGCCGGAUGGAACCCAUCCCCCCUAACGCACUUGUGAAGCCCAAUGCCAAUGAUGCCCAGGUCCUCAUGUGGAGGCCCAAGCGGGGGCCGCCCCUGGUGGUGAUACCUCCUAAGUAGAAGCGAACUGCCCAGCUGUGUGUUGCCAGGGGUGGCAGGAGCCAAACUGAGUUUCUGAGCCAAAGCAGACCUCUUGGUUUGCCAGCCUCUGCAGCUGCUUGUGAAGAGUCCAGCUGCUCCUCGGGUGGUAGAACCAUAACCCUUAGGAAAAGCCCCUUCCUCUUAGGAAUAAAGAAAUCACUGAUUUGACAGACUUGCUGUGAUUACCAUGCAAGUAGCCAUAUUUUGCAGCUGACCGGGAUGAUUCUUUUAUUUGAACUAUUGACCAUUUCUUUCCUGUGAGAUGCAGGGGAGGUAAAUGAAACUAAACAGUGCCUGUGGCGGAUGCUGCUUCCCAACCAAUUAGAAGCGCACGUGGAAACAUCCACACCAGGUGUUCGUCUCCUAGUAGGACAAGGCAAGCCCAGCACACAGAACCACACGGCAAGACUGAGGAGGAGGAUAUGAGCAAUGGCUGGUGGCGCUAGAAGCUGACGCCCUGGACAGCUGAUUUCCUAUUUAAAAAGAGUGCCAUCUUGCCUGUCUCCUCACCACCCUCCCAUCCUGUGACCAGUACCUCCUCUCCCCACCGCGUGUGUCCAGCCAGGCCAGCUGGUUGGCUCAUGGGGGAGCUUUGUUGAAAUAGAAGUUGUGCCUGCUGCAGCUUCUGUGUGUGGAAACAUCGAGUUCGCCCGCACCUCCUGCUCAUCCCCUCCUUCCACGUGAAGCCUCCCAAGGACAAGGCUGGCCAUCCUGGACUGAAGAGACCCCACACGGCCCAGCCCUGGCUCCCAAGCCUGCCUCCUCACCCCCACACUUUUGGGUGGGAAACAGGGAGAAUAUCUAUCUCCCCUUCUCCUCACUCUUCUCUAUGUGGAUAGCCAAUGUCAAUCAUCCUCUGAGGUUUCUCUACGGUCUUUGGAAGGCAACUGUUUGCCCUACCAUGGACAAGCUUGGUGCCUUCGGAUGUCCAAGAGCAGCCCUCACGUCACCAGGAUCAGUGAAGUGAGAGCACAAUUUCUCCCGACAGGGCAAAAGUGGUCUAUGUUGUUUUCUUGAUUGUUUUAUUUAUUGCUAUACUUCCCAAUUUAUUUAUUUAUUUAUGGGAUCUAUAUUUAUUAGACAUCAGGAAAUCUACUUCCCUCUCUCAAACAUCAGCCCCAGAUCUGUCUUGUCGGCCCCUACGGAGCACAGUAAAUGAUUCCUCUUUGAAGCCACAAAAAAAAAAAAAGAGGAAAAUUCUUCUCCCUAGUCCCAAAUACUUCUACCCCAGCCAGCUUUUCAACCCGAAAUGGGAUCAGAAACUACCAGCUAGUAGCAAGCAAUCUAGCCCCACGAAUCAGCACAGGUCCAGCUAACCAGACGGAAAGUCAGCAUCUUCCAACCUCCUUCCUGCUUUUGCACUCUUCCCUUCCGCUCCUUCACAAACCCCUGCAAGGCUGAGCAGCGGGCUCCAGCCUGACUGUUAACACUGGACCUCUCCUUCCGCUCUGGUGCAGAAUGCUUGACACCAGAUGCGCGUUAGCGCUAGGUCAGAAGCUCAAACCCACAUACCUGGUUCCCAUCUCAGUUAUCCAUCGUAGAGGCUCCAGGGGGCUGAGCAGCCGAGGUCUUUUGAGGAACCCAGAUGAUUCUAACUCGUCAAUGUAGUUGAUAGGAAAAAACACCCUUCUACACCCCCGUCCACCUCCCAGAUCCCUUCCUCCUUUAGUUCACAAGCUUUCUCUAGAGUCCCCAUUGCUCCAGUCUUUUUUCCUCGUUACACCUUCUCCCCACCGGCACGAUCAACCUGAGCAGACCCAAAGGUUGACUGGUCCCAAGAGUCACAUGCAAACGCUCGUCCCCUGCCCAAGUUCACCUGCCAUCUGCCCUUCCCCCACCACCACACAUGCCUCCCUCCCAGAGCCUGAAGGUUACAUGGGUUUCCCUGCCUUUCUGUCCGAAUUUUGAGGCAAAGCUUAUUCCGGUCUUUAUAACCCAAGGGUUGGCUGUUUCUGCAGAGCAACCUGAAUUACCCAAGGGCCCACUGGUGACAGGAAAGGGUCAUCCAUAAUAGGAAAGUAUUGUCCUCCGAACAGUCCCUUACCCAAUAACCUGACAGCAACCCACCCACUACAGCAUCCAGAUUAUAGAUGACUAGAGACUUCUCACCUCUCAUGUUGACAAGUUCUCAGACAAUGAAUAUAUAAGUGAAGGUGUGUGUGCGUGUACGCGCACGUGUGUGUGUCUGCGUAUGUGUGUGCUGUGUACCGCCUUCAUAUAAAUGACAUGGACCUUUGAAGAUACUGAACUUCCACUUUACAGUAUAGAACUUUACCUGAAAACAAUCAAGAACUUGUGCUGUCUUGCACUCGACGGAUUCCCUGAGCACCUUUCCUCGAGGACCCAAGUGAACGCCAUAGUAGUGCUCCCUGCAGAAUGCUGUAAUGUCUAAGAACUGUUGGGUGUGUUAGAGAGUGUGUAUGCUGUAUGCACAAGAGAGUGCCCCAGCAUAGACAGAGUCUGUUUUCGUACCCCGCCUCCUUAGCAGGUUCCCAGAGCAAGUAGAUUUCUCCUGCAUUCAUAGCACCAUGCCGUCUUGCCCUGUUAAUCAGACUGUCCUGCACCACGUCCCGUCUCUCAGGGUCCUGCUCUCUGAUAGAAAACGGUUCAGUCGGUGGGUGCUAAAGAGUUGAGUGUUACACUUCUUAGGUGACGUUUACCUUUUCAUUGGGGCUAUAGACAAUGCCUUAAUCUGAAGGAAUAGCUUGAAUGCUGGGAAUUCCAGGUGCAGAAGUGGGCCAGUAAGAGAGAUUAUUUUUAUCUCAGGAGGGCAUUUUAGAGCCUCCCCUUCCCCGUACCUAUCUUUAAAAUCAGCUCAUAAGUACAUGAGCAUGAGCAAGCACACUUACCUACAUCCACAUCCCAUAAUUUUGGAAUACCUCCCUUGCAUUGGACCCAUCUUUAAAAUUAAAAAAAAAUGUAAAAAGGAACCAGCUAAAUUAGUUUAAACCUCAUUGGGAAAUGCAGCCUAUUUUCUCACCGGCCACCAACCAUCUGGUCUACCCCACCCUGUUCCAUUUCCUUCCUGCUCCUCCUCUUUUCUGCUACUGGCCUAUCAGUUAAUUUAUGUGUACAUGUCCUCUCUGCUCUUGCCUUGUUUCCCCCAAAAUGGAUUUUCUUCCUUAAAAUUGUGUUGUUUUUGGUGUCGUCGAGGACAGAAGUGGAGGCUAAGAGCAUGAGCAUGUAUGUGUGUCACUGAAGACAGAGAAGCCAGGUAUUCUGCUACAGUUUGAAGAAUAAUGCCACAAAGGAAGAGAUGAAAGCUGGCUCUGCAGAGUGCCUUAAAAAUGACUUUAAUUAGGAAAUUCUGAGUUGUCAGUCUUUGGAUGUUACAUAAACUCAAAUGGAUGUUGCAUUUCACUUCU